UGGAAUGUAGCUCAGUGGUAGAGCACUUGUCUAGUAUGCUCCCCGGCCUGGGUUCAAACCCCAGUGCUGCAA
rnacentral:tRNA from 1 species